rnacentral:rRNA from 1 species
UCGGACUGCAGGCUGAAACUCGCCUGCACGAAGUUGGAAUUGCUAGUAAUCGCGGAUCAGCAUGCCGCGGUGAAUACGUUCCCGGGUCUUGUACACACCGCCCGUCACACCAUGGGAGCUGGUAACACCCGAAGUCAGUAGUCUAACCGCAAGGAGGACGCUGCCGAAGGUGGGAUUAGCGACUGGGGUGAAGUCGUAACAAGGUAAC